CUAUGCACAUGCAUUAAACAGAGCUAGGUCUAAUCUGGAAAGACACUACGCACAUGCAUUAAACAGAGCUAGGUCUAAUCUGGAAAGACACUAUGCACAUGCAUUAAACAGAGCUAGGCCUAAUCUGGAAAGACACUAUGCACAUGCAUUAAACAGAGCUAGGUCUAAUCUGGAAAGACACUACGCACAUGCAUUAAACAGAGCUAGGUCUAAUCUGGAAAG